rnacentral:rRNA from 1 species
AGUGAACGCUGGCGGUAGGCCUAACACAUGCAAGUCGAACGGCAGCACAGUAAGAGCUUGCUCUUACGGGUGGCGAGUGGCGGACGGGUGAGGAAUACAUCGGAAUCUACUUUUUCGUGGGGGAUAACGUAGGGAAACUUACGCUAAUACCGCAUACGACCUACGGGUGAAAGCAGGGGAUCUUCGGACCUUGCGCGAUUGAAUGAGCCGAUGUCGGAUUAGCUAGUUGGCGGGGUAAAGGCCCACCAAGGCGACGAUCCGUAGCUGGUCUGAGAGGAUGAUCCGCCCCCCGGGAACGGGCAACCGGUCCAGACCCCUAGGGGAGGCAGGAGUGGGGAAUUUUGGCAAAGGGGCCGAAGCCUGACCCCGCCAACCCGGGUGGGUGAAGAAGGCCUUCGGGUUGUAAAGCCCUUUUUUUGGGAAAGAAAAGAAGCAGGUUAAUACCCCGCUGUUCGGCCGGGCCCCAAAGAAAAAGCCCCGGCUAACUUCGU